rnacentral:rRNA from 1 species
GAUGAACGCUGGCGGCGUGCUUAACACAUGCAAGUCGAACGAAGCACUUUAUUUGAUUUCCUUCGGGACUGAUUAUUUUGUGACUGAGUGGCGGACGGGUGAGUAACGCGUGGGUAACCUGCCUUGUACAGGGGGAUAACAGUUGGAAACGGCUGCUAAUACCGCAUAAGCGCACGGCAUCGCAUGAUGCAGUGUGAAAAACUCCGGUGGUAUAAGAUGGACCCGCGUUGGAUUAGCUAGUUGGUGAGGUAACGGCCCACCAAGGCGACGAUCCAUAGCCGGCCUGAGAGGGUGAACGGCCACAUUGGGACUGAGACACGGCCCAAACUCCUACGGGAGGCAGCAGUGGGGAAUAUUGCACAAUGGGGGAAACCCUGAUGCAGCGACGCCGCGUGAGUGAUGAAGUAUUUCGGUAUGUAAAACUCUAUCAGCAGGGAAGAUAAUGACGGUACCUGACUAAGAAGCACCGGCUAAAUACGUGCCAGCAGCCGA